GAAAUGCGAUACGUAAUGUGAAUUGCAGAAUUCAGUGAAUCAUCAAAAUCUUGAACGCACCUUGCGCCUUGGGGUCACCCAAGGUAUGCCUGUUUCAGGGUCAGUUUAUAUCUCUCCAACACAAACUUGUGUGGGACUUGGCAAUCGCGGACCUUGUGUCCCCGUUUGUUGAAAGUGAUGAGCCUGUUAGCACACCGAGUCACACUGCAGACCGGCUGGGCAUUGAUGAGUUUUGAACGGGGCAUCGCCCGUGUUUAGUCUCACCAAUCCAGUUGCGAGCGGAGUCACUUGUGUUAAUAGGUGGCCAACCAGCAUGCUACUCGCUAGCAUUGCGGCACUCUCCACUUGUUCAAACUUUGACUUGAAAUCAGGUAGGGCAACCCGCUGAAUUUAA
rnacentral:misc_RNA from 1 species